GUUACUGGUCUGGAAGGGCCUCUGAAGAGUCCAGGAAUAGGUCUGCUAACCAAAGGAAUGACCCCCUCACAGAGACCACCACUGACUGCCAUGUGAGCCGCCGUCCCUCCAGCUGCCCUCACUCCACCGGCUGCUCCCUCUCACAUCCCUCUCUGGAUUCCUUAUCACAAGGUGUGUGACCUUUGGCAAACUACUUCAGCUCCCUUGCCUCACAGCGUAAUUCACAUGUAAAAUGGGGACUCCCCUCAGACCUCCUUCAUAAGGUUGCUGUAUGGAUUCUGUGAGUUAUUUCAUGAGUAGUCCUGAGAACAGAGCCUGGCAUAAAGAGUAGAAGAGUCAAGAUUUACAUAAAUCCCUAGAUUCGAAUUUUUAUCCUUCCUCACCUAUAUAGUUCAGAUACCAGUACAAGUUGGGUGACUUCUGGCUCUCAUCCUCCAAGAAGAGGGAAAGACUGAGGAAACGAGAACCAACGCAGUUAUUGCUGAACCCAGGAUAAUCAGAACUGCUGGAGUCAUCCUGUGACCAUAGAGGGAGAUUUCACUGAAUCCUGAUGAUGGCAGAAGAGAAUUAUGAAGAGUGCCUCCGUCCUUGAAGACUCUGUUGAGCAGCCAAACUGACCCUGGAACUGCCUAUUUCAAAAUUCCUCAUGAAGGAAUAACCUAUCUACUAAUGAUCAGCACCUGUGUCUUUGUGUCUGAGGCCAAGAAUAAAUUCAUCAACUGGGUAGCCACUACAGCAGAAGAAGCCAACCACAGUCAAUGUUGACUACGCGUCAAGUUGCCAGAGGCCACAGGAAAUGGACUACCUUGGAGAAUCAUCCCUGCCAACAUUUCUGAAUGGCUAUGUCACUACCAAUGGGGCCACAACAACAACACUUGCAACCCAACCUGGACUUCCUUUGACCAAAGGAAGAAAUCUAUCUUUGCCCAUGUCAGACGAAAGGUGAACACCACCCUUGCCUUGUGUCAAAAGCUUUGGUAUCCUGCCCAAUAUGCCUGGAACAGUAUAUAUUGGGAAACUGCUGUGCUGGUGGCCAGAUUCCAUAUAGCCCCCCACUUUGUCUGGAGGCCUUAAAUGGCUCCUCUAAUGUUACUCUGGGGUUUCUCCUGCCAGACAACUGUCAACACAUACUCGAAAUCAACAACAUUGUCCCCAGUGAAACACAAUCUCUUUCCUGCUUUAAUAACACCUUAAUACACUAUAAUUACAAAAAAACCAUUGCUGUACCCUGGUGGGGGCCCUGUGGGUAUGCAGAUCCUACGAGUGGCAAUACCUGCCCCCACAUUGGAUGGGGAGAUGCACUUAGAGGUGGCCAUUAAUUCCAUUCACCAUCCAGGAUAAUAUUCCCCUCCCCAGUAAUCUGGACUCCCUGGUGGUGGUACCCUAUCACAGUAUUCUCCCCUGCCACCGGUACAAUCCUGCUUCAGCAAAAAAUUAAAAUAUUAAGCUUACAUGUAGAAGAAGCUCUUAAUGAUAGUAGCAUUGGACUUAUGUUGCUAUCAAAUGAAUUUGCUCAGCUGUGUACUGUUGUGUUACAAAAUCGAAUGGCAUUAGAUAUGCUUACCGCAGCCCAAGGAGGGGUUUGUGCCUGACUGCAUACUGAAUGUUAUGUGUAUAUCCCUGAUAAUUCUCACAAUAUCACUCUCCUUGAAAAGCCAUGGUGGGUGUGGUUUUUAUUAAUUGUGCUUUUAAUUCUCCUGUGCUUAUCCUGUAUCUGUAAUCUGUAUCAACUAUGCCUUCCCCAUGUAUCUGUAAGGGUAUUUUUCUACAAUUGAGUAUCAAAUUGAGGCUGAGUGUGGAGGAAAAGUUAAAUAUUAAAUUUGAACUCAAUUGAACAUGACACAAACGAUGGUCACCAAGUCCCAGAACAGGUUGUGUGAGCCCCUUGAGGCGCUCAUCCAGUGCUGAUUCGGAGAAAUCUCUAUUUCAGUCUAUUCCUAUAUGUUAGUUAUUUAAAAAAAUAGACAAUUGCAAAAACAAGUUGACCUUUUUGUGUUCCUUGAGCCCAGUCACAAAGGGUUCUCGUGACUGGAAAUCAUGCCAAACAACUCAUUACAAAAAGAGUUAGGGUUCCAGACUGCGCAAAAGCAUCGUGAGACCUCUCCUCGUCUGUGCAUGGAUGAGUGGCCGACUCUGGAGCCCAGGCUAUUGAUUCCUGGUCUGAUGGUGAAUCCUCCAUAGUCUGGUGAGUGUAAAUAUAUAUAUGUAUACACAUAUAUGUAUAUGUGUGUGUAUAUAUAUAUCUUUUCCCUUCUCCCCUUCCCAUUGCAAUUUGCUUUUGCUUAUAUCAUUUGCUUAUUAUAUCAUUUGCUUAUUAUAUCUAUAUUGCCAUAUACUUGGGAUAAAGGCUGUCUACCCUUAAAGGUGCUGUGUGUGUGUCUUUUCUUCUCCCCUCGCACGUUUCCAGCACAGAACAAAUGACCAGGUAAUAACCCAGAGGGUUUACUGUAAUUACUUAAGCAUUCCUCUAUUAUUGGAAAUGUGAGCAAUUUCCAAUUUUUCUAUUAAAAGUAAUGGAGUGAUAAACAAUUCUAAAUAUAUUUUUGGUUCAAUUCUUUGAUUACAACCUUGCAAUAGAUUGCUGGAAGUUCAUUCUACCUUUUUAAAAAGUUAAAAUAACACAUAUUAUGCACAGUAGCUAACCCAAAGAAGCUGAAGUCCCAUUAGACUGUGAAACUUUUCCGAGGUAGAUUCUAUUCCUCUAGAUAGUAAGGAAAAUAUCCGAAAUUUGUUCCCAGCCCUAUUCAUUGAUUUCUGCAUCCAUUCAAUAAAUAUCUGAGUAACUGCUAUCCAUCAGACAAAUAAACUGUUGGAAAGCCAUUUAACCACUUUGAGACCUUGUACUCUGAUCCAUAAUAAACACCAAAUGGUCUUCACAGCUGAAGACCAUUUCCUGAUCCUUGCAAUGAAG
rnacentral:lncRNA from 1 species